rnacentral:rRNA from 1 species
AAUGAACGUUGGCGGCGUGGAUUAGGCAUGCAAGUCGAACGGACCAUGGGUAGCAAUACUUAUGGUCAGUGGCGUAAGGGAGAGUAAUACGUAGGUAUUUACCCUGGGGUCUGGGAUAGCGGCGGGAAACUGCCGGUAAUACCAGAUGAUAUCUCCGGAUCAAAGGUGUGAUUCCGCCCUAGGAGAAGCCUGCGGUCUAUUAGCUAGUUGGUAGGGUAACGGCCUACCAAGGCAGAGAUGGAUAUGGGGCGUGAGAGCGUGCCCCCACUCACUGGGACUGAGACACUGCCCAGACACCUACGGGUGGCUGCAGUCGAGAAUCUUCGGCAAUGGGCGCAAGCCUGACCGAGCGACGCCGCGUGCGGGAUGAAGGCCUUCGGGUUGUAAACCGCUGUCGAAGGGGAGGAAAUUAUAGUGGGUUCACCCAUUAUAUUGACCGAUCCUUGGAGGAAGGGCCGGCUAAUCUCGUG